rnacentral:rRNA from 1 species
GAUGAACGCUGGCGGCGUGCCUAAUACAUGCAAGUCGAGCGAACAGACGAGGAGCUUGCUCCUCUGACGUUAGCGGCGGACGGGUGAGUAACACGUGGAUAACCUACCUAUAAGACUGGGAUAACUUCGGGAAACCGGAGCUAAUGCCGGAUAAUAUAUUGAACCGCAUGGUUCAAUAGUGAAAGACGGUUUUGCUGUCACUUAUAGAUGGAUCCGCGCCGCAUUAGCUAGUUGGUAAGGUAACGGCUUACCAAGGCAACGAUGCGUAGCCGACCUGAGAGGGUGAUCGGCCACACUGGAACUGAGACACGGUCCAGACUCCUACGGGAGGUAGCAGUAGGGAAUCUUCCGCAAUGGGCGAAAGCUUGACGGAGCAACGCCGCGUGAGUGAUGAAGGUCUUCGGAUCGUAAAACUCUGUUAUUAGGGAAGAACAAAUGUGUAAGUAACUAUGCACGUCUUGACGGUACCUAAUCAGAAAGCCACGGCUAACUACGUG